GGCUAGUCUGAAGGUGCAGUGAGUUAUCUCUGAUUGUUCACAAUCAUUUACAUACCAAACUCCUUAUUCUACUUUUUUCCCCCUGCUCACUCUGCACUAGAGUUAAA
rnacentral:Y_RNA from 1 species